GACAAAACCUGUUGUCAUUAAGGCUAUUGUUGAGAGUGUUACAGAGAACAAAUUCUCCUUUGAGAUUGGAAAAUUAUGACUUUAAAGAAAGAAAGAAGGUUUGCAUUUUCCAAAUAUAAUGGCAUCAGUUACACUACACUCCUUACUAUAUUAUGGCUCUGGCUGGUGCUUAGUGUAUACAAAACAAAAGCGACAGAGAACACAACUGCACCUACACUGACUACAACUCUAACAAGUACAAUUCAGGAACCAACAACUGCAGAGAAAAUGACCACAAUGACAACUGGACCAUCAACUGCAACCACAUCAAUAAGCUUGACAACUACCACUGAAUACACAACAACCACAGCACCAACACCAGCAGAAACAACUGCACCCACAACUCUAACAAGUACAAUUCAGGAACCAACAACU